rnacentral:sRNA from 1 species
GCCAGGCAUGGUGGUGCAUGCCUGUAACCCCAGCUACUUGGGAGGCUGAGGUAGGAGGAUUACAAGUUUGAGGCCAGCCAAGGCAACUUGAAGAGAUCUGUCUCAA